rnacentral:rRNA from 1 species
AUUGAACGCUGGCGGCAUGCCUUACACAUGCAAGUCGAACGGCAGCACGGGAGCAAUCCUGGUGGCGAGUGGCGAACGGGUGAGUGAAGUAUCGGAACGUGCCCAGUCGUGGGGGAUAACGUAGCGAAAGUUACGCUAAUACCGCAUACGAUCUAUGGAUGAAAGCGGGGGAUCGCAAGACCUCGCGCGAUUGGAGCGGCCGAUAUCAGAGUAGGUAGUUGGUGGGGUAAAGGCUCACCAAGCCGACGAUCUGUAGCUGGUCUGAGAGGACGACCAGCCACACUGGGACUGAGACACGGCCCAGACUCCUACGGGAGGCAGCAGUGGGGAAUCUUGGACAAUGGGCGAAAGCCUGAUCCAGCCAUGCCGCGUGCAGGAUGAAGGCCUUCGGGUUGUAGACUGCUUUUGUACGGAACGAAAAGGUUUGGCCUAAUAAGCUGAGCUCAUGACGGUACCGUAAGAAUAAGCACCGGCUAACUACGUGCCAGCCGCCGCCGUAA